AACGACUCUCGGCAACGGAUAUCUCGGCUCACGCAUCGAUGAAGAACGUAGCAAAAUGCGAUACUUGGUGUGAAUUGCAGAAUCCCGUGAACCAUCGAGUUUUUGAACGCAAGUUGCGCCCGAAGCCAUUCGGCCGAGGGCACGUCUGCCUGGGCGUCACGU
rnacentral:rRNA from 1 species